GACGAACGCUGGCGGCGUGCUUAACACAUGCAAGUCGAACGGAAAGGCCCUGCUUUUGUGGGGUGCUCGAGUGGCGAACGGGUGAGUAACACGUGAGUAACCUGCCCUUGACUUUGGGAUAACUUCAGGAAACUGGGGCUAAUACCGGAUAGGAGCUCCUGCUGCAUGGUGGGGGUUGGAAAGUUUCGGCGGUUGGGGAUGGACUCGCGGCUUAUCAGCUUGUUGGUGGGGUAGUGGCUUACCAAGGCUUUGACGGGUAGCCGGCCUGAGAGGGUGACCGGCCACAUUGGGACUGAGAUACGGCCCGGACUCCUACGGGAGGCAGCAGUGGGGAAUAUUGCACAAUGGGCGGAAGCCUGAUGCAGCAACGCCGCGUGCGGGAUGACGGCAUUCGGGUUGUAAACCGCUUUCGCCUGUGACGAAGCGUGAGUGACGGUAAUGGGUAAAGAAGCACCGGCUAACUACGUG
rnacentral:rRNA from 1 species